AUUGAACGCUGGCGGCAGGCCUAACACAUGCAAGUCGAACGAGGGGCGGACGGGUGAGUAAUGUCUGGGAAACUGCCUGAUGGAGGGGGAUAACUACUGGAAACGGUAGCUAAUACCGCAUACUCUCGGAUGUGCCCAUAUGGGAUUCGCUAGUAGGUGGGGUAACGGCUCACCUAGGCGACGAUCCCUAGCUGGGCUGAGAGGAUGACCAGCCACACGGGAACUGAGACAAGGUCCAGACUCCUACGGGAGGAAGCAGUGGGGAAUAUUGCACAAUGGGCGCAAGCCUGAUGCAGCCAUGCCGCGUGUAUGAAGAAGGCCUUCGGGUUGUAAAGUACUUUCGGCGGGGAGGCGUUACCUGCAGAAGAAGCACCGGCUAACUCCGUGCCAGCAGCCGCGGUAAUAC
rnacentral:rRNA from 1 species